rfam:Gossypium raimondii Chr09_contig_272, whole genome shotgun sequence.
UAUUAAAAAUUCUAUCUAUUUUUACUGUUAAAAGUUAGUGUUUGGAUGAUGAAAUAGCUAAAUAGUUGGCGUACUACAUGUAUUUUAUGCUAACAUACAUAGAUAAAUUUUUAACAGUAAAAAUGAAUAGAAUUGUUAUUA